GACGAACGCUGGCGGCGUGCCUAAUACAUGCAAGUAGAACGCAGUUGCGAACGGGUGAGUAACGCGUAGGUAACCUGCCUCAUAGCGGGGGAUAACUAUUGGAAACGAUAGCAAAUACAGCACACUGUGAGAUGGACCUGCGUUUUAUUCGCUAGUUGGUGAGGUAAAGGCUCACCAAGGCGACGAUCCAUAGCCGACCUGAGAGGGUGAUCGGCCACACUGUGACUGAGACACGGCCCAGACUCCUACGUGAGGCAGCAGUGGGGAAUCUUGCACAAUGGGCGCAAGCCUGAUGCAGCCAUGCCGCGUGUAUGAAGAAGGUCUGCGGGUUGGAAAGUACUUUCAGCGGGGAGGCGUUACCCGCAGAAGAAGCACCGGCUAACUCCGUGCCAGCAGCCGCGGUAAUUC
rnacentral:rRNA from 1 species